GCCUCCGUGGCGCAAUCGGCUAGCGCGUUCGGCUGUUAACCGAAAGGUUGGUGUUCAGCCACCGGGGGCG
rnacentral:tRNA from 1 species